GCCUCGGCUAACUACGUGCCAGCAGCCGCGGUAAAACGUAGGAGGCGAGCGUUAUCCGGAUUUACUGGGUGUAAAGCGCGUGCAGGCGGUUGGCUAAGUUGGGUGUGAAAGCUCCUGGCUCAACUGGGAGAGGUCGCUCAAGACUGGCCGACUGGAGAGCAGGAUGGGAAGGUGGAAUUCCGGGUGUAGUGGUGAAAUGCGUAGAUAUCCGGAGGAACACCAGUGGCGAAAGCGGCCUUCUGGACUGCAUCUGACGCUCAGACGCGAAAGCUAGGGGAGCAAACGGGAUUAGAGACCCCGGUAGUCCUAGCUGUAAACGAUGUGAACUUGGCGCGGGGUGGGUAAAACCGUUCCGUGCCGGAGCAAACGCGAUAAGUUCACCACCUGAGGACUACGGCCGCA
rnacentral:rRNA from 1 species